GAUGAACGCUGGCGGCGUGCCUAAUACAUGCAAGUCGAGCGAACAGAUGAGGAGCUUGCUCCUCUGACGUUAGCGGCGGACGGGUGAGUAACACGUGGAUAACCUACCUAUAAGACUGGGAUAACUUCGGGAAACCGGAGCUAAUACCGGAUAAUAUAUUGAACCGCAUGGUUCAAUAGUGAAAGACGGUUUUGCUGUCACUUAUAGAUGGAUCCGCGCCGCAUUAGCUAGUUGGUAAGGUAACGGCUUACCAAGGCAACGAUGCGUAGCCGACCUGAGAGGGUGAUCGGCCACACUGGAACUGAGACACGGUCCAGACUCCUACGGGAGGCAGCAGUAGGGAAUCUUCCGCAAUGGGCGAAAGCCUGACGGAGCAACGCCGCGUGAGUGAUGAAGGUCUUCGGAUCGUAAAACUCUGUUAUUAGGGAAGAACAAAUGUGUAGUAACUAUGCACGUCUUGACGGUACCUAAUCAGAAAGCCACGGCUAACUACGU
rnacentral:rRNA from 1 species